UACGAAGGUGGCAAGCGUUGUUCGGAUUUACUGGGCGUACAGGGAGCGUAGGCGGUUGGAUAAGCCCUCCGUGAAAUCUCCAGGCUUAACCUGGAAAGUGCAGAGGGGACUGUUCAGCUAGAGGAUGGGAGAGGAGCGCGGAAUUCCCGGUGUAGCGGUGAAAUGCGUAGAGAUCGGGAGGAAGGCCGGUGGCGAAGGCGGCGCUCUGGAACAUUUCUGACGCUGAGGCUCGAAAGCGUGGGAGCA
rnacentral:rRNA from 1 species